UGGAAAGGUGUAGUUGGGGGCGGUGCGGGGAAUGGGCGGCGGCGGUCGGUGUGGCGUAGGAGCCUAGUACCGCCCUGGCCGGGCGGUGGAAAGGAUGCUGCGGUGGAGACGAAUUGGGCUGGAUGGGAAGUGCAAGGGGCGUGAAGCGCUCUGCAAGUCGUAGAGGACGCCACGAGCGCCCGCUAUCGAUCGGUCCGCGAAAGAGCAUUUAUUAAGCGCCUAGUGUUGUGCCACGCAGCGUGCUAAGCGCUGGGGAUACAAAGAAAGCCAGUACCCCUCCCCACAGUUCCAGCUCUCGGGAGCUCACUGCCUAAUGCAAAUAACUAUGUGCAAGCAGAUGUGUACGGGAUAAAUUAGGGAUAGUCUCGGGACCCGAGAUUGAAGGAAUGCUGACGCUGCUGCGGCCUCACAGUUAUGAGAUAAAGUGCCUUAUAAACCUUAAAAGCACAACUAUUAUUGGGUGAAAUGUAACUCUUUGAUAUUGGAAAGGCCGUCAGUCACAGCUCUAGAGCUGUGUGAAUAAAGCAGUGAGAGAAUAUGACCUUGAGGGAUUUGGGAUGUGGGGGGCGCUUAUAAUGGUGGGAGCAUUGUGAUAAUUAGGAGAGUGAUGACUGGAAAAUUGGGGGCUCCGUCUCAGGAACAGAAUUUUUUAAAAAUCAUGUGUAAUUGAGCAAAUAGCCUCUACUAAUGCAGAUACUAUAUAUCUAAUAAAACAACAAUACUUUGCAACAUGAAGUCUUAGGGAAUUGCUCAGCAGCCACACUGAAACAAGUAUGACUGUGGCCGGGGUUCAGGUAGCCAGUGUUGGUUAGAAGCUGUACUGUCUUUAAUGACUAUUCGCUGCUGUCUUUGUAUGGUGAUAAUUAAGCUGAGGUGAGGUGUGAUAACCUGAAUUUGAGAGAGAUGGUGGAACUCAGAAAAUGGAGCUUAGAAAGAUCAGAAGAUAUAUGAUAAUGACCAAGGAGUAAAAUGAACUAAGAUUAGGGGAUUGGAGUGUUGAAGUCACCUUGUCAGCCUCCACUCCUUACUCUCCCUAACCCCCAAUCACUUGACAAGUCUUGAUUUUUACCCCUACAACAUCUCUCCCAUUAAUCCUCUUAUUUUUAUUCACACUGCAACCACUUGUCUCUCAUUAUCUGUUACCUGGACUACUGAGAUAAGUUGCUGAUUUGUCUCCCUGCCUCAUAUCUCUCCCCUUUCCAGUCCAUCCUACACAUAGCUGACAGAGUGGUACAGGAGUCUGACCAUAUCAUUCUUCUAAUCAAAAGGCUGUAAUGACUCCCUAUUACCUCUAGUGUAAUAUACAAAUUUUACUAUCAUAUACAAAAAAGUUUGGUAUUAAAAGCCCUUCAAGUCUGGUUGUAGCCUACAUAUCCAAAUUUACUACAUGUUACUCCCUUUCACGUCCUGCCAAAUGGACAUACAUGAUAUUCUUCACAACGUUCUAGCUCCUGCCUCAGUGGCUUCAAACAACAUUUUUCCCAUGCCUGGAAUUCACUCUCAUCUAUGCCUUGGUAAGGGAUUAAGCGGAAGACUGGGCAUUGAGGGCCUGGUUGUCAAGAGCAUGCUCUGUCUGAUGUAAUCACCUGAGUGGAUACUUGGUGAGCCAGCCUUUGGGCAUCUGUAAGGGAAGCCCCUCCUCUCCAAAUCAUGGGUAGAUAUUCUGACUUCUUUCUACCCAUUUGCUGUAUGGUGAGGAGGAGCCUUUUGAUCUGAUGCUGAACCAGAACCUGGUAUUUAUACAAAAGGUACUAUCUGGCCUAAUUGAUCUUUUUCUUUCCCUGGCGAUAAGCACGGAAGAUGAAUUGCCUUGGGAGUCCUGGCUUCAUGGCAGCUCCAGGUGCUGGAGAUUGCUAACCUCCAGCUUCAUCUGGAGCUUGCAAGAAGCCAGGAGAACAUCUGUCUUUGUUGCGUCUAUUUUUUCCUACUCUUAGGUGAAAAAUAUCAGAGAUGGCUACAACCUUUUGAGCAAGUCGCCAGAGAUCCCGAAACUGGAAGCCAUAUCAGAGUUUACCAGCAGCUGAGCCAGGUGAAAUGUACUCAGUAGUCCUGGAACUCUGAAGGAAUAAAUGUUAGCUACCUUCUUGGGAACCCAGCUCACUAGUGAGAGUGAGAGUUGGGAUGAGAACACCAGAAGUCUUUUUGUAUGGGCUGCACCUCUUAAAAUACCUAACUUCCUUCAAAGCACAGCUCAGAAGCCACCUUCUAUGUGAAAUUUUUCUUAGUGGCAGCUAGGUGAUAACACUCUAUAAACCAAUGGACCUGGAGUUGGGAAUCCAGCCUCAAACCCUACUAGUUGUAUGACCCUAGACAGUAACAAGGCCUCUCUGACUAAGUCAAGAAGGGAACAAUUCAAUUCUGCACCUGCCAGAGAACAGAGAAAUACAUUUCAGACAGAAACAUAGAGAGAUGGUCACCCAAGCUUCAAGGAGCAAGACAUUUGGCAAUAUAGAGUCAUGUUGAGAAGAGAAACUGACCCUGGGAAUACAUCAUGAAUACUCUGAAGAGAGAAAGGCUUUCCAAGCUUUGCAGCACCAGGAUAUGUGAGUUAUCUUUGUUACAUGUGAAUCCUGCAGGUGUGCCUCACUGCCAUUGUACUCUAAAUUUCAGUCCACUCUUCCCUUGGACUCUGUAUUUGUGGAAGAGUGUACCUUUGGUUUAUAGGAGAAAUAUUUGCAUGCUAU